ACACAUCUAACCACUCUUCAGCUGAUAUCCACUUGCUGACAAAUGAAUCUCUCUGGCCCCUGGACUGUGCCCUGAAACACAGCUUAAAACAGCAGAAUGAACAGUAAUCCCAGAGAUCCUGAGAUGAGAAAAGGGUGUUUGACUUAUUCAAAGAAGACCAAGGAAGCCCAAAGACCAGAGAAGAGUGCAGGAAAGGGGCGGCGGUCUGAGAUGCAGUCAGAGCAGUGGCAAGCCCCCAGAGUCUGUGGCAAAGACUUCAGGUUUCAUCCUGAAGAGGAAGACAGGUCUUUGGAGAGUUUUGAUCAAGGAAGUGAGAUGAAAUAUCUUAGGCUUACAAAGAACUACUCUGACAUCUAAAUGGAAAAUGGACUGAUGAAGCAAAAGAAGCCACAAGGAAGCCAGUUCAGAGGCUAUUGAAAUGCUCCAGAUACUCAGAGAGUGAGAGCCUUCAGAUUUGGGUGAGUGAUGCCAUUAGAACCAAGAUUUCUUCCAUUCUUCUGCUCUAUCAUUCUCAGCACAACAUGCUUUUCUCAUUAAGGCCGCUGUGGUUCGUCUUCUGCCUGGGAACUGGAUAAAAACAUCAGUGAAUACCCCAAAGAUUUUCAAAAAUGCUUGUUGAUAAAAUGAAGUCAGAAUGUGAGAUGAGCCCUUCCACCUGAGUGAUGUUGGUCUUGGCUGUGUGAUUUGCUUUGGCUGAUGAUAAGUUGAUGGAAGUGAUAGUAAGACAAUGCUGAGCCUCAUCCUCGGAAGUAUCUCUGCCUUCACCUGGCUUUGUGCACCACUGCCCUGGCUUUGAGAAGAACAUGAGCCCAGUAAAUUGUUAGUCCAGGAAGAAUGAGAGCCCUAUAUUAGGUAUUGAGGGUUCAGGGAUGAACUAAGCUGAUCUGGUUCCUGCUCUCUAGGCUGUAGAAGAUGGCAAGUGCUGUGGACUUCAAAGAAAAGAUUUCUGAAGUGUCAUGUUAUGACAAUUGUGAUGCUUCAAACUAUGUUGACUAUUCAUUUACAGCAUAAAGAAGAGUGAGCCACUUUAUCACUGCAGUAAUUAUAUUUUAAAAAUAAAGAAAAUAAAACAAAUGGAGUUUCCCACCCAAUCCAUGGAGACACAGACACGAAGUCUUACUAUAGAUGUGUGGCCAAUCCUUACAUUGCUUUUAUUACAAGCCUGGAAAUGACAAUAAAAUACAUGAACUUGAGAGUAUAUA
rnacentral:lncRNA from 1 species